GGUGGCUAGAUCGAGCGGAGCUUCCCUUCCUCUGCCCGGCGGGACAAGGACAAGGACAAGCAGCAACAUCAUCGCAUCAUCAAGCGACUGUUGAUUGGUCACCACCAAGCUCAGGUCCAUGGAGCUCCAGUGUCAAGGGCACAAAGGGGAGGACCAGUGCUUAUUUGUAUAGCACAAAUGCUGGAAUCGACGCGCGCAGAGAAGCAGAGGAGGGUUGGAAUCGACGCGCAAGGCAGCGAGGUCCUCAUCCACCGGGAACAAGUCCAACAAGGCCUCGCUCGGCAAGGCCCAACACGCAACCAGGAACAACAACUAGGCGGCCCAACUCCAACGAUUCAUUGAUACCCCU